GGCAGUAAGAUUAGGCACAUCUCCUGUUGAGGCUAUCAGAGACUCAGUAGGGGGAAAUGGUCCUGAAGGUGCGGCAGGAAAUGGCUGACCCCUCACCCUGCCCCUGCAGUGACCUCAACCCUGCUCCUGAGGACCACCCUCCCCGCUGCCUAAGGCGGACCCAUGAUCACCUCUCCAGGUUGGCCGCCAAACACCAGAGGAUGAAGCGCAAACGCAGCGGUUACUGCAACCCAGUUCUUUCAUUCAGAAGGUGAAGGUCACUUAAGCUUUCAUUGUUGCCUUCAAGUUUGUUCGAGAGAGAAUGGAUAAUCAAUAGUGACAGCACUGAAGUCCAAUCUGUCCAGAACUAGAGCUUGGUCUAGUACAGACUAAAGAUAAAAGAAAAAGAUGUGUAGCAUGUCCAACAAUGGGAAGAAAAUUUCCAAGGUCUUCUAGAAAUAGAAAUUUUUUUUUUCUACUUGGUCUAUUUGUGUGGUCUUGGCUUUCCAAAAGGGACUCAAGCUCUGAGUGCAGAUUCACAGCAAGUUCUAUAGUCUCUGUUCAACCCCUCUCUCUGCUUACCAGGUCUCAGGGCAGAGCCCUGGAGAGGCCCUUCAAUGAAUACUUACGGAAUUGCACACUAGCCCAGGCAUUUGGCUUGUCCUUUACAUUUUAAUGUUUCAGUUUUACAUCUUGAUGGAUCCACUCCAUCCUUCUCAGCUCUUACCCUACUGCUCAUGGCUGAGCUGUGAUGUACUGGGAAUGUCUGCGUUUAACACCUAUGUCAACAACCCUGUCUAGCAUCUAGGAUCACAGUAAGAAGAAACAAAGGCAUCUUGAGAAAAAAAAUACAUGAAAAAAUAUGUAAAUAUAUAUAUAUACACACACACACACAUAUAUAUGUGUGUGUACUGUGCCAUAGGCAUGAUCCUCACACUAAAUAAACAAGUUAAUAAGAUGUAAUAAAAAAAUUAAACAACAGGUUUGAUAUCAUGGUGGUUUGAAUGAGAAGUGCUUCUCACAGGCUCAUGAAUGAAUUAAUUAAAUAAUUAAUCAAUUAACUUUAUUGCCCCACCGAAGUGUUCCCUCCCGUAUCUCCUCCCAGUCCUUCCCCCUGGCCUUGAACUUAGAAAUCUGCCUACCUCUGCCUCCCGGGUGCUGGGAUUAAAGGCAUACACCACCACAUUCAGCUUGAAAAUAUUUUUUGAACACAUUAAAAAAUGUAACAUAAGUCUUUGACUUUUCCUAGAAGAGAAACGCAUCAGAGAAGUUAGAUUAACUCAGCAGGUAUAAUAAUAAGCUCAUACAAAUUGAAGUAAAAUACAAAAAAGUAGGGACAUUAAUGUGAGACCAGAAUGUUUUCAAGUCUAGAGCAUUGAUUAAUUUGAAUAUGCAGUAAAAAUCUACAGGCGUUACAUGAAAGCCACAGCUGCAAAGAGAACCUUGAAAGUUCUUACCCUGUUCUAAACUACAAAGACUCUGAGAAAACAUUAUGGGUUGAUUGGGUUUUGUUUUGUUUUAUUUUGUUUUGUUUUUUGCUUUUUUAUCAUUUUUGCAUCAAACUUAGAAAACAACUGCAAAAGAGACACUCUGAAAUCCACAGAGGCAGAAAAGUGAAGAUGUUUUCUGAAGUAGCUUGAAGAAGAGAAACAGUGCUUGUUUUAUCAAUGGGGGUCACACUCAGCCACCCUUAUCUUCUUCCCCUGCACCCUAGAUCACCCCAAAGCAGCAGAGUCAUAUGGAAACCAAGAUCACCUUAUCAGCGAAGUCCAUAAUUGCAAGGGCUGAUGUGGGUGUGAUGGCUAAUGUUGGUUGUCGACUUGGCACACUUGGGAAGAGGGAACCUCAUCUGAAAAUUGCCUUCAUCAGACCUGUUUGUGGGACAUGAGUGUUAGUUGUUGGAGGAGGGAUUAGUCCACUAUGGGUGGUGCUACCCUUAGGCAGAUAAGUUUGGGAUGUAUAAGGAGGGAAGCUGAGCAUGAGUCUGGGAGCCAGGCAGUAAGCAGCACUUCUUCAUGGCUUCUGCAUUAGCUCCUGCCCUGAGUUCCUGGCCUGACUUCCCUCAGUGAUGGAUUGUAGCUUGAGAACUGUAAGAUGAAAGAAAACCUUUGCUCUUUGGACAAAAGACAAGUACAACAAUAUCUCUCAAGGCAAAGUGAGGCUUGCUGCAAAAUCCUCCUUUUGGGUGUUAGAGCAGAGUACCAAUUCUUUGUUUCAGUCUUUUUGUCUGAAUUCCUUCUGAACAGAACCUAAUGCCCUCCAAGGAGAUGAGAGACCUCAAAGUGAACAGGGAGAUUCUGUGUCAGCGCGGCAGGACAGCAGCGCAUGAGGGACUGUGCAAAUACUUAUGCCGUCAUACUUUCUCACUAAAUAAGAAGAAUUAAAAUAACUCACUCAUUUAUUUAACAACAGCAAAAACCUAGAAAAAUAACAAUCGAAUGAACAAACAACAAC
rnacentral:lncRNA from 1 species